GUUGCCACCUGGACCAUGAUGCACCUUGUUCCCUUGCCAUCCCAUCAGUCAUCGGGCUGCCCUCCCUCGGGAUGCUGCACAUGGCUGCGUCAAUGCCCUGCACGUCUCUUUUUAAAGAGAGGUUAUGGACAGAAGACACAGGGAGAGAGGCUGAAGUUGACAGAUGGUGUCUAUAGGGAAGAUAUAUGAGAUCCAGAAAACCGUCCUUGAAAAUGGAGACAAGAAGUCUGUUUGAUGUGGUUUGAUAAUGAUAGUUAAGUGUUCUCUGACUAUAGAGGACUGCUCUUGGAUUCAUGGUUGUCUAAUUUGAGCAUCUUCUGCCCAUUCUUCAUGUGUUCUUUCCAAGCAACUUCAUCAGAAUGGAGGCUGGCAAAUCAUGAUGGAGUCCUUCAAGACUUUAGAAUGGAUUUACCGUCCACCUUCCCUGUUUACACAGUCAUUAAAGAUGCAGUGUGCCAUGAAAUGUACAUAUGUAUUAUUUUUCCUUAUCUGUAAGGCAAUGUUACAAUAAAUGUCAAUUACAUUUUAUUUA